rnacentral:rRNA from 1 species
AUUGAACGCUGGCGGCAUGCCUUACACAUGCAAGUCGAACGGCAGCACGGGUGCUUGCCCCUGGUGGCGAGUGGCGAACGGGUGAGUAAUACAUCGGAACAUGUCCUGUAGUGGGGGAUAGCCCGGCGAAAGCCGGAUUAAUACCGCAUACGAUCUACGGAUGAAAGCGGGGGACCUUCGGGCCUCGCGCUAUAGGGUUGGCCGAUGGCUGAUUAGCUAGUUGGUGGGGUAAAGGCCUACCAAGGCGACGAUCAGUAGCUGGUCUGAGAGGACGACCAGCCACACUGGGACUGAGACACGGCCCAGACUCCUACGGGAGGCAGCAGUGGGGAAUUUUGGACAAUGGGCGAAAGCCUGAUCCAGCAAUGCCGCGUGUGUGAAGAAGGCCUUCGGGUUGUAAAGCACUUUUGUCCGGAAAGAAAUCCUUGGCCCUAAUACGGUCGGGGGAUGACGGUACCGGAAGAAUAAGUACCGGCUAACUACGUG